rnacentral:lncRNA from 1 species
GUUACGGUCAGUAACUGUUCAGCCGUGGCCCUGAGGUCGUCGCGGCUUGGUCCGGGUCCGGAAGGUGGUGGUCAAAGGAUGGGGAGUCUCCCCGAGCCCGCUGGGUCCCCCUGGGCGGUGAUCUCCGAAGGCUUUGCACCUGCAUCAAGGCCGGGUCGGGGUGCUUGACCCGACCCCUCCGACGAUCAAGUUAACGAAGGAUGUGGAGGGGGUUUUGGGAGGAGGAAAAGUCUCCCCCGUAUUGAGCGUGUUGAGAGAGUCCCCCCUUUUUGCUCAGGACUUGGGGGUAUUUAUAGAGAAAUCACGUGUUACCUGACUUGACCGCCUGCUGGAGUGAGGUGGUACCUCUGAUGGCGUCUGACGCGGCCGCUGGGGUCGCGUGGCGGAGUGGCUCGUAGCAGGGUAUGGGCGAGGGGCAGGUUGUUGUCCGGCCUGGCCGUGGUCAACCAUGCAGGGUCGGGCGUCGCCUCUCGACAGCGGGGGUCGUCAGGGCGAGUCUAGUCGGCGUUAUUGCUUUGGCCGGGGGCUGUCGUCAUGGUGCGUCAACCGUGCCAUUAUUUUCCCUAUCA